AUUGAACGCUGGCGGCAGGCUUAACACAUGCAAGUCGAGCGGGGUGAUGGUGCUUGCACUAUCACUUAGCGGCGGACGGGUGAGUAAUGCUUAGGAAUCUGCCUAUUAGUGGGGGACAACAUCUCGAAAGGGAUGCUAAUACCGCAUACGUCCUACGGGAGAAGGCAGGGGAUCUUCGGACCUUGCGCUAAUAGAUGAGCCUAAGUCGGAUUAGCUAGUUGGUGGGGUAAAGGCCUACCAAGGCGACGAUCUGUAGCGGGUCUGAGAGGAUGAUCCGCCACACUGGGACUGAGACACGGCCCGGACUCCUACGGGAGGCAGCAGUGGGGAAUAUUGGACAAUGGGGGGAACCCUGAUCCAGCCAUGCCGCGUGUGUGAAGAAGGCCUUAUGGUUGUAAAGCACUUUAAGCGAGGAGGAGGCUCUUUUGGUUAAUACCCAAGAUGAGUGGACGUUACUCGCAGAAUAAGCACCGGCUAACUCUGUGCCAGCCGCCGCCGUAA
rnacentral:rRNA from 1 species